UUCAUCAAAGUCAGAACAUUACAAUGAGCGUUCAUAAUUUUUCAAUAGACAGCUAAAUGUCAAAUGAUUAACUCGCUAGGAAAUUAAAUAGCCACAAAGAUAAAUCAUUUAUUUAAGAGGCUAGCCACUGCAAAUCCGUGAAGAUCAUAACUAUAUUUGGCAAUUUUUAGAGGAAAAAUCAUAAAAUAAAUCGAAAAAUUGUUGAAAUUUAUUUAUUGUAAAUACCUUGAGGAAUACAAUCGUAUUUUUGCAAUAAAAUAACUGCACUGCAACGAUAAGAAUUUUUGAGGUGAUCAUCUAACCGACGUGCAUAAUUACGAGCACAUAUGGUUAAUUACGGUAUAUUCGGUACAUUACGAAAUGGUGAAUAUUUAAAAAAACAUCUGGUUUCUAAUCACGAAAGUAUUGUGUGAUAAUGUCGAUAACAAAGCAAGUUUUUGAUGUAUAGGAAAAUCCUUCAAAAAUUGCCAAAGAGAAUGAGAACAACUUCAGCAAAGUUCUACGUUGGGAAUACAGGUGACAUCUUUUAAUAUCAUACACGUGCGCACAUUCGCGAAAAAUGUGGAUCUUGUGAGAGGAUUAUGUAAGUGCUAUUUGAAAAAAUCACGGGCAGUCUCGUGAAUAUUCUGCUUAAUUGGUAUUGUGAAUCUGAGGGGGAUGCUACACGUGUAUCUUUUCUACUUUGAUGCUAGAGAUCUAAUAACUUUUGGGGUUCGAUUGCCGCAAUGCAGUCAACUAUUUGCCCUUAUCUGAUAACAAAUAUCAGUGCAUAGUAAUUUGAAUUUUAAUGGUCUGUCACGGAAUGUAUGAAUAUUUUGUUGUAUUUUCAGGCACGAAAACUUAUACAGUAAUUUUACCAAAGUAAACAGUAUUAUGCAUGUAACAGGCAAUUAUUAAUUAU